ACCGACCCCUUCACUAAAGCCCUAAUGAUAAAGCAAUUCGAUAAUCACAAGUCGAAGAUGGGUAUUAGAUACUGUGCCGAGUGGCUUUAGGACAAGUGAGAGUUGUUGAAAAAUAUGUCCCAAAAGCCAAUCGUCAACCUAUUGACGGUUGAGCAACCUUAUAUUAUAAUUAAUUUGUUAAUAAAUAAAAUAUAUUUUUGAUAUUUUUAUCAUAAAUUUUCAUCUUCUAAUGAACUCCGUUGUUGUGAUGAAGUCCUUAGGACUAUUUAGAUUCGAUAAAGAGA
rnacentral:lncRNA from 1 species